rnacentral:rRNA from 1 species
UACGUAGGGUGCGAGCGUUGUCCGGAAUUACUGGGCGUAAAGAGCUCGUAGGUGGUUUGUCGCGUUGUUCGUGAAAUCUCACGGCUUAACUGUGAGCGUGCGGGCGAUACGGGCAGACUGGAGUACUGCAGGGGAGACUGGAAUUCCUGGUGUAGCGGUGAAAUGCGCAGAUAUCAGGAGGAACACCGAUGGCGAAGGCAGGUCUCUGGGCCGCUACUGACGCUGAGAAGCGAAAGCAUGGGGAGCGAACAGG